rnacentral:rRNA from 1 species
GCAAGGAUUCUUGAGGUGAACCAGCAGAGGGAUCAUU